rnacentral:lncRNA from 1 species
CUCAGCUUUGGUUUCUCUGUUUCCCAAACUGCAAAGCUGCUGGCAGCAAAACUCUAGGAUUUCAUGUGAGUUCAAGCCAUGCCUACCUUAACAGAAAUAUUACAACAGAAUUUGUAAGGAUCCAGCUUCUACUGAAACCAAUAUCCAUCUGCAUCCUAACAACAAACAUGUGAAUGAGAUGGUCACAUUUGCACUUGUCAGUAGGUCCUGUUAGAAACUGUAAAGACUACUAAUGGUAUAGCCAUAAUCACAAAAGAACAACAAAAAAUGUUUAGGUUUUUUUUUUUGGCAUUUUGUACAAAAGUCACCUGUCAGAGGAAAAGGCUGUGUUUUCAGAUAUAUGAUUUUUAUAAUGUGUGUUCUUUGGCUGUACAUAAGGAGUACAAGGGAAAGGUGUAUUUGACUCUAAAGGUGCAUGUUAGAAAUAAACUUUCCCAUGUUUGUUGUUAAGAUGGCAAAGCUGGUGAUUUCCUUCACAGACAACGAAGAAAAACAAAAUUGCUCAAAGCAGCAGGAUUGUAACAAAAACUUCUCUAGAGACCCAGCACAUACAAUCAACACUGAAAGCAUUCUGAGAAAGAAAUAAGGCCUUGGAAAACACUUCACUCCCCUCCCUUUGUUAAAUAUGAAAUAGUAUCCUGGCCCAACGCUGCAGAGUUGUAUAUACCCUUUUCACUAGUGUCAGAGCGGCUUACGCCACAUUUACUGUGAGAAAUAUUGAUUCACAAAAAAAGGAUUUUGCCUGAAUGGCUGGUUCCUGGAGAUGGGAUCUCCUCUGUUUGCCACUAUCCACUGACAAGAAAAAUUAUCCUGAAUGGUUUUACAUUCAGUUUUUAAAAGAUUCAUUGCUUGUACAAUUUAAAUGCCUCACUUGGAAAAUUAAAUCUUUUUGUUUGUUUGUUUGUUUGUUUUGGUAUCGGGGAUUGAACUCGGGAAAUUUCGGUUGUGAGGCAGGCGCCAGAACCACUGAGCUAAAUCCCCAGCCCUGAAAAAUUAAAUCUUUUAAAAGACAAAAUUAAAAGAAAUUCAAGGGCUGGGGAUUUAGUUCAGUGGUUU